AUCCAGCUGAUGAGUCCCAAAUAGGACGAAACAUGCAUCGUAGAU
rnacentral:hammerhead_ribozyme from 1 species